rnacentral:rRNA from 1 species
AACGAACGCUGGCGGCAGGCUUAACACAUGCAAGUCGAACGCACCUUUCGGGGUGAGUGGCCGACGGGUGAGUAACGCGUGGGAAUCUACCCUUCUCUACGGGAUAGCUCCGGGAAACUGGAUUUAAUACCGUAUACGUCCUGAGGGAGAAAGAUUUAUCGGGGAAGGAUGAGCCCGCGUUGGAUUAGCUAGUUGGUGGGGUAAAGGCCUACCAAGGCGACGAUCCAUAGCUGGUCUAAGAGGAUGAUCAGCCACAUUGGGACUGAGACACGGCCCAAACUCCUACGGGAGGCAGCAGUGGGGAAUAUUGGGCAAUGGGCGCAAGCCUGAUCCAGCCAUGCCGGGUGAGUGAUGAAGGCCCUAGGGUUGUAAAGCUCUUUCAGUGGGGACGAUAAUGACGGUACCCACAGAAGAAGCCCCGGCUAACUUCGUG